AUACAUGUAAAAAUGUGUUAAUCAUUAAUUAAUAGUAUGGGAUAGUGUUUUUCGACUCAGCUACAGAUGCCGAUGGAGACCAGAACUGCUUUGGAAAAAUAUGAACGCCUUAGGGCCGAUCUGGAAGAAGGCUUAUUGACUGAAAGGGGCUUUCAUGAAAAAGUUAGAGCUUUGCUACAGGAUACGCCCUCUACAAGCCAAGGAAGUAAAAGUAAAGAUGCUGCUUUAAUUUUCAAUGAAAUGAAAAAAGCCAUCCAAGAGAAAACAUCAGUGAAGAAGAAGCAGUUUGCACUAUCUAAAAAGGAGAAACCCUCAUUUAUAAAGGUUUGCUGCAGAUGACUUAACUGAAAAUGAAAUAGUUCCUAUAUGUAUAAUACACAUUUAUCUAUUUGACUUAUGCCUUUAUCCAAGCAACUUGCAACA